UCCAAUUGGUUGAGUUGAGAGCUCUUCUCCUCCAUUGUCUCGCCAAUCUAUGGAGCAGAACCAGAGAGCUUCGAGGGCUUUCCAGUUCCACCCUGCUAGACCUGCCAUUCUCGAUCUGUUCAACCUCUACUUAGGAAGAAGUGCUCGCCAAAAAGCCGAAGAGUCAAUCCGAGAACCUCCGUAC